GAUAGAAGAACGAAGGCUAAAACUCACGUCCUGUGAUAACGCCUUCGUGACCAAGAUCAU
rnacentral:sRNA from 1 species